AUGAGAGGGGAUAGUGACGAGUGUCAAGUGGUGACCCCAGCUGCGUGUGCCCAGGUGCAGCUGGAGCAGUCUGGGGCAGAGGUGAAAAGGCCCGGGGAGUCUCUGAGGAUCACUUCGGAGAAUUCUGGAUACAGCUUUACCACCUACUGGAUCAGCUGGUUGUGCCAGGCUCCAGGGCAAGGCCUGGAGUGGUUGGGGAGGAUUGAUCCUGGUGAAUCGGGUACGCCAUAUGGCCCAUCCUUCCAAGGCCAUGUCACACUCUCUACUGAAAAAUCCACCAGCAUCGCCCACCUGCAGUGGAGCAGCCUGAAGUCCUCAGACACUGCUGUGUAUUACUGUGCCAGAGACACA